rnacentral:rRNA from 1 species
GACGAACGCUGGCGGCGUGCUUAACACAUGCAAGUCGAGCGGUAAGGCCCUUUCGGGGGUACACGAGCGGCGAACGGGUGAGUAACACGUGGGUGACCUGCCCUCAGCUCUGGGAUAAGCCUGGGAAACCGGGUCUAAUACCGGAUAUGACUCCAUGACCCAUGUUGUGGGGUGGAAAGCCUUGUGCGGCUGAGGAUGGGCCCGCGGCCUAUCAGCUUGUUGGUGGGGUGAUGGCCUACCAAGCGACGACGGGUAGCCGGCCUGAGAGGGCGACCGGCCACACUGGGACUGAGACACGGCCCAGACUCCUACGGGAGGCAGCAGUGGGGAAUCUUGCGCAAUGGGCGAAAGCCUGACGCAGCGACGCCGCGUGAGGGAUGACGGCCU